rnacentral:rRNA from 1 species
AUUGAACGCUGGCGGCAGGCCUAACACAUGCAAGUCGAACGGUAACAGGAAACAGCUUGCUGUUUCGCUGACGAGUGGCGGACGGGUGAGUCAUGUCUGGGAAACUGCCUGAUGGAGGGGGAUAACUACUGGAAACGGUAGCUAAUACCGCAUAACGUCGCAAGACCAAAGAGGGGGACCUUCGGGCCUCUUGCCAUCGGAUGUGCCCAGAUGGGAUUAGCUAGUAGGUGGGGUAACGGCUCACCUAGGCGACGAUCCCUAGCUGGUCUGAGAGGAUGACCAGCCACACUGGAACUGAGACACGGUCCAGACUCCUACGGGAGGCAGCAGUGGGGAAUAUUGCACAAUGGGCGCAGGCCUGAUGCAGCCAUGCCGCGUGUAUGAAGAAGGCCUUCGGGUUGUAAAGUACUUUCAGCGGGGAGGAAGGGAGUAAAGUUAAUACCUUUACUCAUUGACGUUACCCGCAGAAGAAGCACCGGCUAACUCCGUG